ensembl:lncRNA
GCGCCGUCACAUGGCUGCCGCCGCGCCAUUGCUGGUACAGGGCAAAGCUGCACGCUUAAAAUUCCUUUUAAAAGGUGUCCGGCUUACAAAAUCGCUAGCUUGGAGUGUGAUAAAUACCACGAGGCUUCGAUGCAGCUUUGCUCUGCCCCUGCGCGUGCACGGUGAGACAGCAGUUCUUUGCUUUGGAAACGUGAGAGCACGAACUGCCAGGUCCUGUCGGCAAUGUGUAGUACGAACGUUGGAGAACAUAAGGACACAUGCUGCCUGUUAUACCACCACGGGAGAUGCAGAUAACAUCUUUUUGUGUAAAAAUCUAUCUUGGGAGCAAUGAGACAGCACCAUCUCCACAUCACACUGCUCUCCAUCCCAUGAUCGUUAAUUCAGGUAAGGGAAGUGAGGAAUUUGCUUUUCUGGCUAGCAUUCCCUAAAGGGCAAAGCUGGCAGUUGCCCAGUGCACACGCCAGGGUUGUGUCCAUUGAAUUCCCAGACCUUUCCCAUCUGGUUCUUGUAAUAUUGGAGGUGGAUCUGCUGCUUCGUUUUGUAUUCUGCAUCCAUCUUCUCUCAGGCACGAUCUGGAAACUGCUCUGCAGCCCAUCCCACAGCAUGCGAGGUCUCCUUGUUGCGUCCAGUGGGUCAGGAAGGAAGGGAGAAAGCCCUAGAGUUACAAGAAUUCCCAAAGGGCAGCAAGUACAAAGAACAAACACAUUGUAAAAACAAGCACACAAAAAUACUUCAUUGUUUUAAAUGCAAAAGGCAUUUUCUGUUGUCAGAUGCAGGCAAACUGCAUUGCUUUUACAUAGAGAGGCUGUUAGCAGCAAACUAGCUGACCCAUGCUCGAAAGCAUUCCAAGGAUACUUCCCCCCUUGGGAGACCAGAAAUACCAGAGAAGCCAUUUUCAUACAGCCUGACUGUUCCUACCAGCACCAGGCUUGAAUCAGGCUUAUGCUUGUCAGAGAAUAGAGACAGAACCUAACUUUAUCUCAGAGGAACACACAAACCUACCCUGCAGCUUUCAGGCUGACCUUGGCCAUUUAUUGGCACCAUGCUUGGCAUGGUUUCUCAGAUAGUGACAAGAAUGUAAGUGAUAUCUGGGGUGGUAACAGGCAUGUGAGAAGGAAAUGGUUUGGCUCUGCAGAUUUCCAGGAACUUUAAGACAAGCCAAUUGGGCUCAAAUGACACUGAGAAACUACAGUGCACCAAUGGCAACAGGAUGCACCCUUUUGUACAAUAAACAGCCAUGAGGAUCACUUGCACUUUUUGCUCUAUAACCCCAGGCCAUGAGUCUGUUAUUAAAACCUAUUAAGAGCAUGCUUGUCAAUAAAAGCCCAUGAAAGAAUGCCUGUGUUCUAUGCUAGAAUAAUAAUAAAAAAAAAAAGCAGAAUUUUGUAAAGUGUUUUCUGUCCAUCAGCACAUUUUCAUCUGCUCUGACACUCAAGGUUCCUUCAUCUUCCCCCUCACUUGUCCAAACCAGCAUAAGCACCUCAGUCCGCAGAUGUCCACGGUCAAUUGCAGGCCCCUCCACCUUCCAGAGGCACGACCACCUCCCCAGCCCCUCCAGGCCCUGCCAAGGGGAAUAGGGGAAUGCCAGUAGUGGGCUAUCGUGGGAUUGCUCUGACAUGGAAAUCCCAGUAGUUUUAAGCAUGCAGACCGUUGGUUCUCUCUCCUUUUCUGCACAUUCACCCACAUCUCAGUCUCUUAUAUAUUUAUAUAUAAACCCCUCCAUGCUACUAUUUCUG